GUACGUAUGGUGUAGCGGUUAUCACAUCCGCCUAACACGUGGAAGGUCCCAGGUUCGAAACCUGGUAGGUACA
rnacentral:tRNA from 1 species